CACGUAGGGGGCAAGCGUUGUCCGGAUUUAUUGGGCGUAAAGAGCUCGUAGGUGGUUCGGUAAGUCGGGCGUUAAACCCCCAGGCUCAACCUGGGGACGCCACUCGAUACUGCUGUGACUAGAGUCCGGUAGGGGAGCGUGGAAUUCCUGGUGUAGCGGUGAAAUGCGCAGAUAUCAGGAGGAACACCAGCGGCGAAGGCGGCGCUCUGGGCCGGUACUGACACUGAGGAGCGAAAGCGUGGGUAGCAAACAGG
rnacentral:rRNA from 1 species